GAGUUUGAUCGUGGCUCAGGAUGAACGUUAGCGGCGUGCCUAACACAUGCAAGUCGAACGAACAGCCAGAAUCUUAGGAAUCUGGCGGGUUAGUGGCGCACGGGUGAGUAACACGUAGGUGACCUGCCCCGAAGUAGGGGGCGGAACCACCUGGAACGAAGAGGCGUAAUAACCGCCAUGUGCUUAGUCCACUUCGGUUUGGGUUUAAGUUAAAAGACUGAGGCGGCUUCGGGUAGGGGCCGUGCGGUCGGAUUAGCUAGUUGGUGGGGUAAGUGGCUCACCAAGG
rnacentral:rRNA from 1 species